UCAGUGUACUCUCCACAGUCACUGAGCACACAGGUCCUCACCAUGGAAUGUAGCUGGAUCAUCUUUCUCAUGUCAGUAAUUACAGGUGUCCACUCCCAGGUCCAGCUGCAGCAGUCUGGGGCUGAACUGCUGAGGCCUGGGUCCUCAGUGAAGUUGUCCUGUAAGGCUUCUGGCUACACAUUCACAGACUAUGUUAUGAACUGGGUGAAGCAGAAGCCUGGAGAGGGACUGGAAUGGAUUGGAUGGAUUUAUACUUGGAAUGAUGUUACUGACUACAACCAGAAGUACAAGGGAAAGGCCAAACUGACGGUAGACAAACCCACCAGCACAGUCUACAUGGAACUCAGCAGCCUGACAUCUGAGGACUCUGCAGUCUAUUAUUGUGCAAGAUACACAGUGUAG